rnacentral:lncRNA from 1 species
GCUCAGUCUCGCGGCCGCCUCCGCUUGGUUCACACGUGUCACGUCGCUCUCCCUCGAACCGGUUGUCCGGAGCCGUAUACGUCAGCUCCGGCCCUUACAAGUCGAGCACCAACCUCUGUGUUGUUUUCGGCUCUCGUCACUUGUGUUUUUUAUCUCUCUGCAAAAAAGGAGAGAGAAGGUACAAAUAUGAAUAAGGAAAGAGAUUAAUGUAAAUGAGAGAUAUAAGGAAAGGAAGCCAGACAUGAGAGACGGUAAACGCAAUCUAUUCGUAAAACAAGCUGACAGAAAAUAUAACAGACCCUAAGAAAGAAACACCGUAACAGCGUCGUAUACAUUUUUCUAUCGCAAGAGCUCUCUGUGACAGCCGGCAGGACAAGGGAGAGGCCCUGCAAGUGCGAGUUAGUGACCAGAACAAAGUAUAUCGUAAAGAAAGAAGCAGCGCUGUUGCACAAGGAGAACAUUAACCGUGUUAUUUCUGCUGUUCUCUCGCUCUUUUUGUAAGUUUUCUUUCAUUUAUUUCGUUAAGAAUUCGGUUUGUCUGAUUUCUUCUCUCUGUCUGUCAAAGAGCCGU